rnacentral:rRNA from 1 species
UACGUAGGGUGCAAGCGUUGUCCGGAAUUAUUGGGCGUAAAGAGCUCGUGGAGCGGUUUGUUGCGUCGGCUGUGAAAUCCCGAGGCUCAACCUCGGGUCUGCAGUCGAUACGAGCAAACUAGAGUGUUGCAGGGGAGACUGGAAUUCCUGGUGUAGCGGUGAAAUGCGCAGAUAUCAGGAGGAACACCGGUGGCGAAGGCGGGUCUCUGGGCCGAUACUGACGCUGGAGGAGCGAAAGCGUGGGGAGCGAACAGG